rnacentral:rRNA from 1 species
AAAUUAGAGUGUUCAAAGCAGGCAGAUUCAUUUUCUGCCACCGAAUACAUUAGCAUGGGAUAAUGGAAUAGGACCCUGUCCUCCUAUUUUCAGUUGGUUUUGGCAGCGCGAGGACUAGGGUAAUGAUUAAUAGGGAUAGUUGGGGGCAUUAAUAUUUAAUUGUCAGAGGUGAAAUUCUUGGAUUUAUGAAAGAUUAACUUCUGCGAAAGCAUCUGCCAAGGAUGUUUUCAUUAAUCAAGAACGAAAGUUAGGGGAUCGAAGACGAUCAGAUACCGUCGUAGUCUUAACCAUAAACGAUGCCGACCAGCGAUUAGGAGACGUUGAAUACAAAACACCACCAUCGGCGCGGUCGUCCUUGGCGCGUUCGUGUUCACGCACGGGCGCGCGAGGGCGGUUUAGCCCGGUGGCACCGGUGAA